rnacentral:pre_miRNA from 1 species
ACUCUUAGUGAUCCAAAGCCCAUUGAAUUCAGUGGAAAGCUUUCCAUUGACUUCAGUGGGCUUUGGAUCAGACACUAAAGU